rnacentral:misc_RNA from 1 species
AUGUUCAAUGCAUUUGAUGAAAUAUAUGUUGCAUUCAAUAUUGAUGUAAAAUGACUUAGAAAAACUUGACUUUUAGUGGGUAGGGCCAGGGUUUGUAGAACUCAAGAAUUAGGGCUUUAAAGUAACCUGGCAGAUCUGAUUUCCUUCAGAACCAGUAGGGGUUGUGGUUGGGGUGUGGGUCUGGUGUGGAAGGGGGGAAUACCAGCCCCACAACAACAGCAGGAUUAGAAAGAAAAAAUAAAAAAAAAAGGGCUUAGUUUCUGGGAUUUUAAUUCCAAAUCUUU